UCCUGAGCCACUGAGAUUACAGGUGUGGCCACUGCCCUUGGCAUUUAUUCACCAUCUUAACUGUUUUUAAGUGUAGAGUCGGUGGGUAUUAAAUGACACUCAUCCACAGAACUCUUCCUUUUGUAAGAUUGCAACUUUGUCCCCAUUCGAUACUAUCUUCUCCCUCCUCCCCUGCCCCUCAGCCCUGGCAUUUACCACUCGGCUUUCUUGUCUGUGUGCCUUUGACUGCUCUGGGCUCCGUAUAGAAGUGGAACCAUGACCUAUUUCAACUUAGCCUAAUGGGCAGGGAGUCCGUGCGUCCAGCAGAAGAUGAAGACAUAAGCAAAAUGCGGUCGAUACCAUAGUCUCCUUGUCUACUCUUUUACUUUUCUUAGUUUCUGUCACCUGUGGUCAAGUGCAGCCUGAAGACAGUCUAUGGAAAACUGUAGAAAUAAGCAAUUAGUAAGUUUUAAAUUGUCUCCCAUCUGAGAAGCAGGAUGGAAUCUCACAUGUCCUUCCUGGAAUGUGAAUCUGCUUUUGUCCAGUGUAUCCACCCUGUAUAUGCUACUCUCCCGUUAGUUACUGAGUGGCCAUCUUGGUUAUUACAUCAACUGUCUAGCAGUACUUGUGUUCACGUGACCUUAUUUUACUUACUCUCCCAAAGAGAAACUGUAAAGUGCUUCCUUGAAGCACAGAUUCUCAAUAUGGAAAGAAAGAAUUUGUAUGCUGAGGUUGCAAAGACUUAUGGUGACAAUGAAUUUUCUAUCCGUGAAAUCGCGAAGAAAAAAGAAACGCGCUCUAGUUUUGCUGUCUCACCUCAAACUGCAAAAGUUGCAGCUACUGUGCGUGAUAAGGGCUUAGUUAAGAUGAAAAGGUGUCACAGCUGUGUGUGGAUGACAUGAACAGAAAAUGUGUCCCCGUUGAUGAUGGUGAGUCGCGACAGAAAGCUCCGAACCUACGUGACGGUUUAGACAAGGGAUCCCCCGGAACAAGUGACACCUGGCCAUUUACUGCAAGUAAUGAAUGGCUACACUUACGCAAGAAGGGACUUGGAUUGUGUUGAGAAAACACAGUGUGUAUAGGGUUUGGUUCUGCUCAAGGUCUCAGACACCUCCUGGGGGCCUGGGGACAUACCCCCAGCAGAUAAAGGAAGACAGUUUUAUACAGCGGUAUACAGUGGAGUAUUAUCCUGCCUUAAAAAAGGAGGGAAAUUCAUUUUUCAAAAUUUUAUUUAUGUUCUUAUUUUGGUACCAGGGAUCAAACCCAGGGGCACUUAACCACUGAGCCACAUCCCCAGCCCUUUUGAUAUUUUAUUUUGAGGCAGGGUCUCCCUAAAUUGUUCAGAGUCUCACUGAGUUGCUGAGGCUGGCCUCCAACUUGCUAUCCUCCUUCCUCAGCCUCCCGAGUCUCUGGGUUUACAGAUACUCACCACCAUGUCUAGUAACUCGUGCAUCUUUUCACGUGCCUGACUGGGCACCUUUGUGUUUUCUUUGAAGUCAGGAUUGCAGACACCUGUUUUUAUCCUUUGUGUGUUUCUAGAGUUACUUGUUUUAGCAUAUUGCAGGAGAGUUUAAAU
rnacentral:lncRNA from 1 species